UACGGGGGGGGCGAGCGUUGUCCGAAGUUACUGGGCGUAAAGCGCGUGUAGGCGGGUUGUUAAGUCCGCUGUGAAAGCCCGGUGCUCAACGCCGGAGGGUCGGUGGAUACUGGCAGUCUUGAAGUGGCUAGGGGGAAAUGGAAUUACCGGUGUAGCGGUGAAAUGCGUAGAUAUCGGUAGGAACACCAGUGGCGAAGGCGGUUUCCUGGAGCUAACUUGACGCUGAGACGCGAAAGCUGGGGGAGCAAACGG
rnacentral:rRNA from 1 species